rnacentral:rRNA from 1 species
ACCUGUUUGUUUUGACGAGGAGGAUGAGGGAGGUAGAAGCAAAUCUUUUAGGUAUGUAUGAUUAUCGAUUCUUCGAAUAAAUUCGUUGUAGCCAAUAGGUAUUGGUUUCUUACGAAAAGUUUUAUUCGAAAGUAUAUAUUUUAUAAUUUUUUCAACGUUACUAUUAUAUAAUGGCUCUUGACCCCCUAUUAUUUUGGCUAUUUUCAAGUCAUCUGUUAUACCUAAGGAUCUAGAAUUUUCUUUGACAUAUUUAAGAACUUGUUCAUUUGUGGUUGGGUCACUUUCUGGUGAAAAAUAAUCACUUUCAGCUUCUAUAUUUUUGUCAGCUAUUCCCCUAGGGCCAACUUUCAAUUUACCCGGUAGAAGUUUUUUGUUAAUUUUAAAACCUGAUAUCUUUUUCCUUCUUCUACGAACAAUUUUUUGUAUAGGUUUAUUAGUUUCAUUAUUAUUAGUAUCAUUAUUUUUAUCUACAUUUUUAUUUAAUGUUUCUACAAUUUCUUCAAAAUUUUUAAGUUUAACAUUUAUAGGUUUCUCUUCUUUAUCCCUUACAAGCUUAUUAUAUCUCUUAAAAUCCUGCUCAUAACAAGCGGCCUUUGUAUGAGGGUCCAAAAUGGAAUUAUUUUCGGUACUUUGCAAACGCUCACGAAACAAACCUAAUGCAGUCCCAUCAGCGUUAUUUGCCUUUUCUUCUUGUUUGUCUAUGCCAAUUAAACUCUUAUAAAAAUCUUCGGGUAUUAGCAGCAUUCUAGUUGCAUGAUGCAUUUUAAGUAAUUAAUCAAGUUUGUCGCGUAAUCCUAAUGGUUAACAGAGACAAACGGGGGCAUUUGUAUGGUCCCGUGAGAGGUGAAAUUCUUGGACCGUGGCCAGACAAACUACAGCGAAAGCAUUUGCCAAGAAUGUUUUUAUUAAUCAAGAACGAAAGUCAGAGGUUCGAAGGCGAUCAGAUACCGCCCUAGUUCUGACCGUAAACGAUGCCAACUAGCGAUCCGCCGAUGGAAAUUAUAUUGCCUUGGUGGGGAGCUUCCCGGAAACGAAAGUCUUCCGGUUCCGGGGAAGUAUGGUUGCAAAGCUGAAACUUAAAGGAAUUGACGGAAGGGCACCACCAGGAGUGGAGCCUGCGGCUUAAUUUGACUCAACACGGGGAAACUCACCCGGCCCGGACACUGUGAGGAUUGACAGAUUGAUAGCUUUUUCAUGAUUCAGUGGAUGGUGGUGCAUGGCCGUUCUUAGUUCGUGGAGUGAUUUGUCUGGUUUAUUCCGAUAACGAGCGAGACUCUAACCUACUAAAUAGUUGGUACAUACUCUUAGUGUAUACAGCUUCUUAGAGGGAUUUGCGGCGUUCAGCCGAAAGAAAUUGAGCAAUAACAGGUCUGUGAUGCCCUUAGAUGUCCGGGGCUGCACGCGCGCUACACUGGCAAAAUCAACGUGCUUGUCCUACCCUGAAAGGGGCGGGUAAACCAUUGAAAAUUUGCCGUGAUUGGGAUCGGAAAUUGCAAUUAUUUUCCGUGAACGAGGAAUUCCAAGUAAGUGCGAGUCAUCAGCUCGCGUUGAUUACGUCCCUGCCCUUUGUACACACCGCCCGUCGCUGCCCGGGACUGAGCCAUUUCGAGAAAUUUGGGGACCGUUGAUUUAAUUUUUCUAAAUUACUUUGAUGGAAACCAAUUUAAUCGCAGUGGCUUGAACCGGGCAAAAGUCGUAACAAGGUAGCUGUAGGUGAACCUGCUGCUG